rnacentral:tRNA from 1 species
UAAGCUGUACCUUAAUUGGCAGAAUGCUUGUCUAGCAUGCAUGAGGCUCUGGGUUUGAUUCCCAGCAGCAUAU